rnacentral:rRNA from 1 species
GACGAACGCUGGCGGCGUGCCUAAUACAUGCAAGUCGAGCGGACGGAUGGGAGCUUGCUCCCAGACCGUCAGCGGCGGACGGGUGAGUAACACGUGGGCAACCUGCCUGUAAGACUGGGAUAACUCCGGGAAACCGGGGCUAAUACCGGAUAACUCUUUCCCUCACAUGAGGGAAAGCUGAAAGAUGGCCUCUCGCUAUCACUUACAGAUGGUCCCGCGGCGCAUUAGCUAGUUGGUGAGGUAACGGCUCACCAAGGCGACGAUGCGUAGCCGACCUGAGAGGGUGAUCGGCCACACUGGGACUGAGACACGGCCCAGACUCCUACGGGAGGCAGCAGUAGGGAAUCUUCCGCAAUGGACGAAAGUCUGACGGAGCAACGCCGCGUGAGUGAUGAAGGUUUUCGGAUCGUAAAACUCUGUUGUCAGGGAAGAACAAGUACUGGAGUAACUGCCGGUACCUUGACGGUACCUGACCAGAAAGCCACGGCUAACUACGUG